UUUUUUUUUUUUGGUCUUUUUGUCUUUUUCUAGGGCCGAACCCACGGCAUGUGAAGGUUCCCAGGACAGGGGUCGAAUCGGAGCUGUAGCCACCGGCCGACGCCACAGCCACAGCAACUCGGGAUCCAAGCUGCGUCUGCGACCUACACCACAGCUCACGGCAACGUCGGAUCCUUAACCCACUGACCGAGGCCAGGGAUCGAACCCGCAACCCCAUGGUUCCUAGUCGGAGUCUUUAAACCACUGAGCCAUGCAGGGAACUGCAGACAAUAAGUUCUUAAUACCAUCAAGUGUCCUGUGACCGACUGCUCAUCUUUUCCCAACCCUCUCAUGAUAUUUUUAGUUUCUUUAAACCAGGAUGCAAGUAAGUUUCAUACUUCACGAUUGGCUUAUACGGUUUUUUAAGUCUCCUUAGCCUGUAGGUUUCCCGUCCAUCUCAUGUUUUCCCCCCUUGCGAUAUACUUGUUGCGGAAACCGGACCUACUGUUGCUCACAAACCGGAUUUUGCCGAUUGUCUCCUCGGGGUGUCCCUUAAAAUGCUCCUCUGUUCCGGGCAGGUCCCCUCACUUGGGAGCUAGAGCUGACUUGGCAGUCAGACCUCCAGACUGGAUCACAUUCAGACCUCGUUUGGCGGCGCCCUGUAGGUGAUGUCACGUAUCAGACUCGCGGCGUCUGGACAACUUUCUCCUUGCGCUAUGGGCGGCCUUGGGUGGUCACUGCCGGGAUUCAUUCACUCCCUGGCGGUGCCCCAGUCUAGCAACCCUUCUGCUAUUAGCUGCAGUACGUCUGAAAGAGACCCUUCUUUGCAAACAAAGAAGCACCAAGAGCCUCGCUCACCGCCCGGUUCGCCGGUGAGGCCCUCCGCCGCGCCGGGAGCUCGCCCCUGGGAGGAGGCAGGAUGAGCGUCAGGACGGGGCCCUCUGUGCUUCGGAAAAACCUACACAGUUAAGUGUGUGCCUCAGGGAGAACUGCACGAACCCACAUUCUUGCAUCUGUCCACACAGAGAAAGCCACUGAAGCCACUGGCUUGGAAUACUGGUUCUUUGCGACCAGCGUAACCUCUUACCAAGAUGCGUGUCAGGCUUACAGGCGAGAUGUAAGGCUGUUUAUCCCUCCUCUCUGGAGCCGAGGCUGCCUCCUGAGCUGCAACCUAAACUCACAACUCUUAUGCUGUGCGUUGUUAAGUUAACCGUCUCAUCAACUGCUUGGUUACGCAGAGAGACACCUCACACAGGAGAGAGGAAUGCUUCACUAGGCCCAUUAAUAAACCAAAAAAGCCACAGAGGCACCGCCUGGCCCAGGCUCUGCCAUCAAGUGACAUUAUCAGUGGGCCAGACCGUGCCUGCGACUCGCUGGAAGAAAUGGGGAGCCGAGCCCCAGCACCAGGCCUCGUCCCCAGGCUGGGGGCUGCUGAGGCUGUGGUGGCCUGGACCAGGCACGGAGAGAGCCCGGGUCCCUCCCCGCCUGCUGGGCUUGGCCUCGGCACGUCUUGGUCCGCUGGAGGCCAGCGGUGCCGCAGCUCCCAGGAAGCCCAGGCGAAUCCUCGCGGCACAAAGGCAAGGCAGCUCUGUUUCUGCCAGAGCUCAGGCUCAGGCGCUGUAACGCCACGAUGCAUCACAGAUGCCCAAACGGCUUAGAGAGAGGCCCGCAGUGCUCCCUCAGUAACCGGCGGAGGGGGAAGCAGGCAGUUGGAGGCGGGUGGACGGUCCUGCUCCCUGAGCUUGUCAAAGAACCGAGGCUCCUACGUCACCACCCUCUGGGACGCCACGUCCACCUGCAGGACCCGAGGCUUGUCCGGGUUCCUGUCACAAGGAAGGGGAGAGAGAGGAAGUGCGAGACAGCCAAAGUCCCGUAAAACCCGCGCCUUGGAGCUGGGACAGCCGCUGCUCCUCGCGGUCACCUGGCUGGAACCUGGGCCCGAGAGGCGUCUGUGCACAGGAGGCGGGAGGCGGGGAGGGACGGCGGCACAAUUCCCGGGAACGGAUCCUGGCAACGACUGGCAGGCCCUGCCGCCGGGUGAAAGUGGCGACUGGCGACUGGGGACAGCCUCGCAGACCUCAAACCUUGUCGCGCGCAAGGCCUCCCUGGGCUGGGGUCUGUAGGACAAGGUCCCCGCCCCAAAGCCGGGGCCCACGGCGCCCCCCCUCCGAGAGGCUCCGCCCUGCGCAUCAGGUGCCAAAGUGCACACGCGGCCAGCGGGGCAGGCGGUCUCUAAAGUGAGAUCUGGAAACUGUACAGUUUUGCUUUUGGAAUUAUUUGGUGAGGGUAAGUCACUUAAUUUACACUUGGCUCAAUCUUAGCCAAUCCUCUUGCGUGUGCAGAAUUUCUUGUGAGGUGAAGAUUCUAACCUACGCGUUAUUUUCAAGUGUAGAAGAAUUCUGACAUGCUAUGAAAUAGCUAUGAAACUAACAAUGAGUUUAACAGGAUGGUACGGUUUAUGGUAUCUAAUUUAGGUUUUCCCCUUUUAAUUCUGAUUCUUCUUCAGGACUUGUAUUUCCACAGGCCCCCGACGAGCCCUCAGACCACGGAUCCUCCGCCCGCACCGCCUAGUGAAUGAAACGGCCACCGGCCGCCCGCAGGGAGGGGCGGUCUGCGCGGACCCACUGCCAGGGCGGGGCUUGCUCGGGGGAGGGGCUUGCUCUAGCAGGUGCUGUGGCCCCUGAGGAACGGGGCGCAGAGAGGCUGGGGCCUACAGAAGGCUGGGAGCAAUAAGAUCGGCAAGAAGAGAAACACAGCGGAUCGCUCGGAGCAGGGCUGGCAACGGUUAGGUUCUCGCGCUAGUCCGAGAAGGGGCUGGAGGGCUUAGCGAAAUGUCCCGGGUCUCAUCGAGAGCGUUAACACGGGAUUAAGCCAAGAGCUCACGGGCGCCCAGGCAGCUCCCCAAGCCGUCCAGCGUCGUGCACGCAGACCUGUCACUGCUGCCAUGGAAACCCGCCUCCCUGCGACCUACAGCCACCAGGGAGGCCUCCGCAGCCCCUCUGCUUUGCUUUUCCUCUGCGUCUUUUCUUUUGCUUUCCUUUGUAUGUUUAGAUAGCUACCACUAGACCUGGGCCUGGGCUGCAAGGGCUGCUGGCACGUGAAGCUACGGACACAUUUGGCUUCUACAGGGAGGAGAGAGCUGGGCUUCCCAAGACCCCUGAGGUGGGGGCUCCCCUCAGACGGAAGGAGAUGCACAGCCCGCCCAGUUAAAGUGAACGACAAACACGCACUGCAGCGUCCUUGACCCUCAGUGCGGAGGGCACGGGCAGAGAGGGGAGCUGGGGCUGGGGCUUCUCCCGGAAAAGGCCCUCCGAAGCCGGGGGCAUCCGAGACAGGCUUGCCCCGGCUCCGGCCCCGGCCCUGCUGCCUGCACGUGAAAGAGCGGCUGUGGCUGCACAGCCAGAGCAGGGCCCAGGCCUUCCCCGCAGGGAGGCUCCCGGGCCGGGCUCCCGCUCUGCGUCGUCAUGACGCCAGGGUCUAGGGGAGAAAGCCUCAAAGCAGGUGCCCCGCCGCCCCUGAGAAAACACUCGGGGACGCGAGCGUGGGUAAAGAAAAGUGCUGUUUUAAUUAGUUCUUGAUCGCGUAGGUCCUCUGAGGAUCAGCGACACCUCCCCUCACACUGUUCCUCCCUCGAGCCUCCAGCCACUGUGGAUGCAACGGCCCUCCCGGGAAAGGCCCCAGGACCCCGGCCUCGGGGGCCGGCAAAGGGGCGCAGCUCCAGGAAGGGGCGCGACGGGAAGGGCCCGGGGCAGCUGAGGGGCACUCCUCUGAUUUGGCAACUGAGUGGUCACUGGUGGCUUUCAUGAUAAACGACAGAGGGCUGAAGAAUGACCAAGAAGAAUCCGUGACAAGAUCUUUGUCAACAGAUCCGGCUGACAAGGAUACGCAGGGUGACGAGCAGCGCACUCUAAGAAGCUGCUGGGAUCUUGGGCAGAGCCUCGGCUUGGCGAGCCGCGCGGAGGUGGCCAGCGGGGACGGAGGCCGAGGCCUCGGGAUGGGUGCGGGCCUCGCCUUGGAGGGCCUCUCGCAGGAUUCAAGAAACGGAGUGGGCCGGAGCGACAGGGAAGGUGCCGAGGAGGGCGCAGGCCUGAUGGGCUGGGGUCUAGGGGGGAAAACCAUGAAGCAGGGUCCCCAUCUCCACUGGGAAACCCUCCAGACAGGGGGGCGCCGACAGGAAGCUCUUGCUUUGGGGCGUCUCCUCUGGAAAGCGGCAGUGAGGUCAGGCGUCGGCUGAGAGCAGACCAAGGGCAUGGACGGGGCUGAGCAGCAACAGGUCAAGGACAAGCCAGUCCGUGCUGAGAGCCCGACUGAGGCUGGAGACUCGGAAUGUGCCACGCUUCGCGGCCCGGAGAAGACGGAUGGCGGUGACAGUGUCCGCGGAAGGUGGAGGGAUGAGACGGUUCAGGGGGCCAAGCCACGUGUCAGUGCGUCACGGGUUCUGGCUCCGGAGAGGAAGGGGUCCAGAGAGCCAAGGUCUCGGGACUGGGCUCGAGGCGCAGGCAACUAAAAUAAACGGCAGGGAGAGGGAAGAGGAGGCACGGGGAACAGUAUUGCAGGAAGAGCGAGAUCUCGGCUCUGGAGCUCAGAAGAAAGGACCACGGUGACACGGGGAGCGAAAGAGAAGGCAGAGCUGAGCCCAGAAACAAACGGGGGGGCUGGGUCUUAGGAACAAGGCAAAGGCCCAUCAUUGCGGGAAACGGGUCCCGGGAGCCGGAGUCUGCAGGGUGGACGGCAGAGCCUCCCGUGGAGCAGCGCCUACAGAGGAGGACCUGGCGGCUGCCGCUGAGGAGGGUGCCCGCAGGGGCAGCAGCAGGGGAGGCUGGUGCCUGCUCGAAGUUAGGCAGGGAACCUAGCCACGUUCCAAAGAAAGCUCUAGACGCCCCUCGGUGUCGGCAGAAACCGCGCCAUGUCCUGCUUCUCAGCACAUCCGAGAAACCCAACUCCUCCUCUAGGUCAGCACUGUGAGUAAGAAGCAUCCAGAACCCUCUGCGUUUCCAUUUCAUGACUCUACCAAUGGCCAAAGGACUUAACUGACCCCCAAAUGGGGCUGUCAUGGGGAUACGCCAAAAGCAGGGGAAGCAGGAGAGCCCAGGGCCCCUGCGGCCCGUCACUCGCUAGUAGCCUUUGUUUAAUUUCUAAAAACUCAUGUUGUUUUCCACGUGCCCAGACUAAACCACACCAUUAAAACGUGUGCUCGGCAGCCAGGAGCGUCGGGGAGAGACAGGGCCGUGGGGUGAGCAGCGCAAGGACGGGGUUGCGGGCCAAGGCUUCACAGCCUGGGAAGAAGACACCCUACCUCUCGCCUGCCCCUGCUCAGGGGCCGCAGGGGGCGUCUCAGCACGCGGUGUCUCUGCGGUGGGAAGGGACGGCGGGGCUGUCCGCCCUGUCACUAAGGUCCUCGGGCCCAGCAGGCGACACCCAACCUGGGAACUUCACUGAUAGAAGGGGCGCCGAGGAUUUAAGCAGGUGCUUCUGCUUCACAUCUGGGGUUCCCUCUGGUCUUGGGGCAUGACGUCAACUGAGCUAGAGCCUGUCCCGGCCCUCACCGGGCUGGCUGCCCAACACAGAGCCCCAAGAGCCUGAGUCAGGGGAGGAGGGAAGGCGGCCAGACGAAGGAGGGCGACCAAGAGACGGAAUGAAGAGGUAAUCAGAGAAGGAAGCUUGUCAAGCCAACUCAACAGAGAAGAAGAUCCGAAAACGGAAGGGGAGCAGCAGGGCCCCACCUAGAGAGUCACGUGAUCGCAGAGCAGCGGGUUACAGCCAGAGACGGGCGGCCCUGGAGUAUUGAGGACUAGGCUGCCCUGGACCAGAGAGCGGGAGGAUGGAAGCCCAUGUGCUUAGGAGAGCUUGUGCUGGUGACAGGAUGGCAGGGCCGUGGGCACAGCCUGCUUGGAGGGGACGCCGCCCUCUCGGCCUGGCUGGGGAGAAAAGGAGCAGCACCGUCGACGCCCAAGCAGAGAAAGUCUGUUUCCUCUGAUCGCAACCUUCCAUCAACAAGGGCCCUAGAACAAAAACUUGCUCCAACCGCAGCUCUCGGCAAAAACAAAGCCAUGUCCCGAGACGCCCUUGAAAUCAGCGACUCCACGACAGGACAAAGGAGAGCGGUCUCCAGGCCAGCCAACCUCAGCCGCGGGCUCCCUCUCCACAAAGCCCUCGCUGUGAGGUGGGCUGACCCCGGCAUCUGCCUGUGCCCCUUCCCCCAGACACUCUGCACGGACCACGAAGAUCCAGCUCCUGUGGCCUCCAGGAAACCUCCUGCGUUCCAGGAGAGACUCAGUCCUGCGGCUGCUCCAGGGUCACCAAAGGACACCAAAAGAGCCUCUUGACGCUCAGCUGCCCCCUUUUCCAUCCCAGACAGAACUCCCAGAAUGUCUAGGCCUGCCUACUGCUGGCCCCUCCGGCCUUCUCCAACCUCCAGCAAAAAAAAGGCCACCAGCAGAGUCUUGGCUUUUCCUGGGCUGUGGAGAGCCUGGGGACGGGGGAGUCAGAGGACUCGAUUCUGCUCUUUGGCUCUGCGGAGUGGAGGCGCUGACAGCCAGGCCCUCUAAGCAGAAGAGGCCCAGCAGGGGGGGUGUGGGUCCUUCCUCUUGCCCUGAAAGCUGUGUGUGUCAGACAGACAGCUGCUGCCUCCCAGUCUCCCCAAGCCGACCUCAGGAUCUGGAGCCCUGAAGGACAUAACGAAGGACUGGCCACCAGUAAUCGCUUCCAGGAAGCAGGGUCUGACCCCAAAGAAGAACUAUCAGCCCAAAGUAGGUGGCACAGAGGGCUGGCUCUGAAGUUAACAUCCUCUGAAGCCCGCACGUGAAAUCGGGGCUGUCAGUGGUCUCUGCACAGCCCCCAGCCCCGCCGAGAAGGCCAUCCCAUCCGGGGCUUCAGAGGAGCCGCCCGUGUCUGCAGCAGGAAAGGGGGCAUGAAGAACAGAUACCCUGGAAACCGUUAGAACCCGGAGAGGCACCAAGGAGGCCUGUGGCCUCCGGGAGCCUCGUUACCCUGCCCAGGGCAGGAGCUGUCCGAGCAGGACAGACAGAGGCAAGCAGUGCCAGUCUCUGGCUGUGCGGGGCCGGGUCACAGGCCCCGUGUCAGAGCCUUGCUCCCUCUUCCACCCCCUGCUGGGCCCAGGAGGGUUCGGACACACACGCUGCUCCCCAGCCCUGCGCGCGGGACGGCGAGCAACGUCCGCUUUCCCCGAGCAGAAAGAAUUCGCCUCGGACACCUGGUCCCCCUUAGCCUGCUCAGGCUCGGUCUCGGCAGAGGGACCCCACACACCGAACUGUUCUGGGCACAGGGGACACCCCCUUGUGUCUUUUCCUGAACUCUCCUCUGGCCUGGACGCGCUCUGGCUCCCAAGGACGUGCGGUGAGAGGCAGACGGCAGAGAAGGGUGCUACGAACUCGACAAGACUCAUCUCACAUCCGAUC
rnacentral:lncRNA from 9 species